GUCCUUUUGUAUUUAUUUAAGGUCUAGUCUGCCCACUGAGUUUAAAUUUUAAAUGGCCGCAGUAUUUUGACUGUGCAAAGGUAGCAUAAUCAUUAGUUUUUUAAUUAAAAGCUUGUAUGAAAGGCUGGACGAGGUAAAAUCUGUCUCUAUUUAAAUUAUAAUAGAAUUUAACUUUUAAGUUAAAAGGCUUAAAUAUUAUUAAAAGACGAGAAGACCCUAUAGAUCUUUAUAAUUUAUUAAUUAAAAUUAAUUUAGAAUUAUUUAUAUUUUAUUUAAUUAAAUUAUUUUAUUGGGGUAAUAUAAAGAUUGAGUUAAUUCUUUUUUAUAAUAAACAUUAAUUUAUGAAUAUUAGAUGAUCCAGUUUUACUGAUUAUAAGAUUAAGUUACCUUAGGGAUAACAGCGUAAUUUUUUUAGAGAGUUCAUAUCGAUAAAAAAGUUUGCGACCUCGAUGUUGGAUUAAAGAUUAUUUUAGGUGUAGGAGCUUAAUAAUUUUGGUCUGUUCGACCAUUAAAUCUUUAC
rnacentral:rRNA from 1 species